rnacentral:lncRNA from 1 species
GCGUACACUUCCUUUUCAAGCUGGGUCCUCAUAAAAAUCUCCACAGCAAUCGGCAUUAAAUUUCCAUAUGUGCGGAUGUAUUCUCUUGUGCUUGUAACAUCAGGAGAAUAGGUGACAGUAAACAAGUGAGAGCUCACAAGGCGACCAUUUCAUUCCGGUCCACCAUGCCCAAAAGAUCUCGCGACUUGUUCCACCUCUAAUCAAGGAACGGUGAGCACAUUAUGAAUCUCAUGGUACGUCAAUAGACAACAAGAGCAAACGGUCAAAUUCACGAUGGCCCAUAAUUUUCAAGAAAACAAUGUCAUGACUCAGGAGCCACUCAAUUGGUAGGGCCACGCCCCAGGACAAACGGCCACUGGUCUACAGUUGUAACAUCAUUCCUUUUCUUUGUUUCUUCCCUUAUUAACUGUUAUUGUUGAGACAUGGUAAUCACUUAUCCCCGUUACGGGCUCAUUAGAGAAAAGAGAAAUCAAAUGCUUAUGCAGGAGGAGGGAAUUCCAAUUAUUGCACUGCUACAACUUAAAUAUAAGCAUCAGUGGUGGUGUAAAUAUCACGGGGAAGGCCUGUAUAAUGAGAAUGUGCAAGGACAAGCUCACACUUGUUCAUUGGAUGAAAAGAAAUAGGUACUCUUGACAUCAACUCAUGGGCAUACAUACACACAUAGAGAACCUAAAACUAAAUUAGUCAAUUGGCAAGUGAGUAAAUAAUAUAUUUGGGCUCAUGCUCCACAAAAAAUGAGGCACGUCUUACACAUUCCACAUGCUUGAGUAAGAAGCAUUGUGUCAAACAAUGACUAAGCCAGAAGAAGCUUUCCUUGUACAAAAUCUACAAGCCUAUGCAUACUUACUUGAGAAAAUCAAUCAGCUCUAGCAAUACAAAUGUGAAACAUCCUGAACAUCUGACCUGAGUUCCGUUUAUUUUGCCUAUUCUGAUCAUGUUGAGGAAUCUCAGGUACUAUGCUAACCAGAUUGAGAUGAUAAAACAAAUGGUUCUAUAUGAGUCAACUUGAGGAAACCCACAAAAACACGUAGGUUGUCGGUGAAGUUUUCACCUCCAAAUUCCUUUGCCCUUUUAGUAUAUGUGGAAUCACGGACACCAUCAAAAAGGUUCCCACAAGCCAGGAGAGAGACUAGAAGUACCAACUCUCUAACACAAUAAAAUCGAAAAUACUAUUUCAGCGGGCUUUGUACCAUGUCAGUAUACGUAGUUGCUAAUAAUUAUAAUCAUGCCAAAAAUACAAAAUAAAAAUUUGAAAAAUAGAACACUUCGUUAUAUAGCAUACACAGAGAGAAAAUCUCGGAGUUUCCUCUUUAUGAGCUGAUAAUAAAUGAAAUAUAUAGUAGCAAUCAGGGAUAUGGAAACUUGGAAGGGUUAGACCUUUUUCAGUUGGAAAGAGAACCCUGAGAAAUGCAAGGACUAUGCAGGCAGUGGAAGUCUUCUUAAUCAAAUUUGUCGUUGAUGUUCUAAACCAACUCGUGACAGCCUGCAGACACAUGAUUGUUUUCCAGACAAUGUUUUAACUGAAGCGUCCUGGCUAAUUCAAAGUCGUUUGUCUGGAUCUCUCAAUUGAUUCUGGGAAAGAUAACUGCAGCUGAAGAAACAACAAACAGACAGAUGAAAUUGCAUCACAACAAGCAUCUUUUAGACUCGUCAGUGAUCGUGUAUCAUCUUUAUAUGCCAUAAAUGAGUCAAAAGUUCAUAAAACCAACCACAAGUAGAUGAAACAGAUGGAACCAGAAGUAUGAUAUCGAGGACUUCCUCAUCAAAAAUCUAUGAUCAUUCAUUGCCUCUAUCAAUAACAAUCAAUCAACUAUUCUCAACACCAAACUAGUUGGUCAGCCAUAUGAAUCUUCUGUAACCUCCUGCUCCAUUUUGGCUAUUGUAUUUCAGUAUUAAACAAAUUAUUUCUUAAGGCAAAUUAUGGUUCUUUAAAAGUAGAUUCUUCAAAUCUCUCACUUAUCCGCCACUGAUAAACAAGUUCCUAACCAGACUAGAAAGCCAAUUAAUGAACACCGGACACAAUAUAAGUGCGACAGAACAAAUAAACUGAAAUUCUAAUUAGUUGGUAUAUCCUCGCCACCUCAACAUUGCGGAUAGUUAAUUUAAAGGGCGCAUUUCUUUUUCUUAUGUCGCAUCGUCCAGUAUAAUAAUAAAAAUCUAAAUGUGUUCCUGGUAAAUGAAAAAAAAGUCAUUAUCUUUGAACCUCAUCAACAAAGGGAACCUAUAAAGAUCUUUAAGACAGUGAGAAUCCAGAGAACAUAUGCACAUUGCAAAGGGGUUAAGAUCAUGUCACAAGUAAAUUCAUACGUAAAAUCAACCAAUCAAAUCUUCCAUAUUGCACUGGACUACAGGUGUUCUUAUAGAACUAGCACAGUAACUUCAUGAUGAACAAAAUCUCAGGAAUAUAUCAUGAUUUUCAUGAACUCAUACACCAAGAACAUGUAUUAUUAGUAGAUAGCAUAUGCACCUACAUGAGAAGCUGAAACUCUCUUCUGAUGUAACUGCAAACUUGUGCGCGGGUGACUAUAGGUCAAUCCUGACAUAUGAAAAUAACUGUUUGCUGAUUGCAAACUUGUAUUAAUUAAUUUGUAUAAGUACAAACCAAAACGUGCCACAAAUUUUACAACUUCUCUACAUGUUUAAUAAUCAGUACGACUGAAGUAAUCGGAACUUUUUUGUGCUAACCUCUGAUUUAGGUAGCAUGGCAUCCUAUAGAGUAAAUAAUAAUUGCCAAUGUUUCAUACCAGAAAAGAAGGUGCAGCGCUCAAGGGCCCAAGCAACUGACGCAAGGGCUUGAGGCCCCUAAGAAAUUAAGGCCUCAUUUCUUUAAUUAAUGUAUUUACUCUAUUUUAUUUUAGGGGAAUGGACAAGAAUAGCCACUCGGCUAAAAC